rnacentral:rRNA from 1 species
GACGAACGCUGGCGGCGUGCUUAACACAUGCAAGUCGAACGGAAAGGCUCUGCUUUUGUGGGGUGCUCGAGUGGCGAACGGGUGAGUAACACGUGAGUAACCUGCCCUUGACUUUGGGAUAACUUCAGGAAACUGGGGCUAAUACCGGAUAGGAGCUCCUGCUGCAUGGUGGGGGUUGGAAAGUUUCGGCGGUUGGGGAUGGACUCGCGGCUUAUCAGCUUGUUGGUGGGGUAGUGGCUUACCAAGGCUUUGACGGGUAGCCGGCCUGAGAGGGUGACCGGCCACAUUGGGACUGAGAUACGGCCCAGACUCCUACGGGAGGCAGCAGUGGGGAAUAUUGCACAAUGGGCGGAAGCCUGAUGCAGCAACGCCGCGUGCGGGAUGACGGCCUUCGGGUUGUAAACCGCUUUCGCCUGUGACGAAGCGUGAGUGACGGUAAUGGGUAAAGAAGCACCGACUAACUACGUG